GAUGAACGCUGGCGGCGUGCUUAACACAUGCAAGUCGAACGAUGAAGCCGGAGCUUGCUCUGGUGAAUUAGUGGCGAACGGGUGAGUAACACGUGAGUAACCUGCCCUUGACUCUGGGAUAACUGCGGGAAACUGUAGCUAAUACCGGAUACGACCCUCGGAGGCAUCUCCUGGGGGUGGAAAGAAUUUCGGUCAAGGAUGGACUCGCGGCCUAUCAGCGAGUUGGUGAGGUAAAGGCUCACCAAGGCGACGACGGGUAGCCGGCCUGAGAGGGUGACCGGCCACACUGGGACUGAGACACGGCCCAGACUCCUACGGGAGGCAGCAGUGGGGAAUAUUGCACAAUGGGCGCAAGCCUGAUGCAGCAACGCCGCGGGAGGGAUGACGGCCUUCGGGUUGUAAACCUCUUUUAGCAGGGAAGAAGCGAAAGUGACGGUACCUGCAGAAAAAGCACCGGCUAACUACGUGCCAGCCGCCGCUGUAA
rnacentral:rRNA from 1 species